CAGUCGCCGCGGUAAUACGUAGGUGGCAAGCGUUGCCCGGAAUUAUUGGGCGUAAAGGGCUCGCAGGCGGUUUCUUAAGUCUGAUGUGAAAGCCCCCGGCUCAACCGGGGAGGGUCAUUGGAAACUGGGAAACUUGAGUGCAGAAGAGGAGAGUGGAAUUCCACGUGUAGCGGUGAAAUGCGUAGAGAUGUGGAGGAACACCAGUGGCGAAGGCGACUCUCUGGUCUGUAACUGACGCUGAGGAGCGAAAGCGUGGGGAGCGAACAGGAUUAGAUACCCCAGUAGUCCCUGUCUCUUAUAC
rnacentral:rRNA from 1 species